rnacentral:lncRNA from 1 species
UGCUACGGAUAUCAAAUCAAAUAUGAUAUGAUGGGAGAAGUCUGGUUACCAGUUACUUACGUUUAUUCAAAGUGAAAUAAAAAAGCAUUAAAAGCCUCAAUAAACGGUCAAAAUACACGAUUUUUCAACAUGUGGAGAAUUAAGUCUAAGGCAAUGUUUGAUAGAGUGACCUAGAUAAGUCAAUAUUAUUUAUGGUUGGAUAAUUAAUGAUAGAUAUUGUGUGUAUCCAGUGUUUGAUAGCUGCACAAAUUUGGAUACAAAUUAAUUUAAAUCUUGUUUGAUAGAGUAGAAAACUGUGGGUUAGAGCUCGUGUGAUAGACCAAAUGUGUGUCGGCUAGUGUUAAAAUCAAUUCACUGAUCACGAGAGAAUAAUUAUCUUGGGGGUUGCGGUGGAUUAGCUUUCUAAGAGAAACAGUAAAAUUCAUGCGGGCCAAGUGUUUUAUGCGGGCCCUUUAUAUUAAUUUCAACUGCUAUCAAACUAUGAAUUUUCGUUAGAAAUGCUAAUUAUCCAACCCAAUAACCCCUAUCAAACUAACCCUAAGUAGAUAAAAACAUUUAAUUUCAAGUGUGCUAAACCGUCAAACUCGACUGCUUGCAAUUGCAUGGAAUGGAAGUUUGAGUAUUUCUUUGGACAUGACGUGACAUUGAGAGGAGUAGUAGAAUGGGUGUUGCAAAUAAAUAAAAAACAAAUUACAAGACUUUUGCUAGAAUGUUCAUGCUUGGGAUCGAGUUAUAUAAAAUAUAUAUGGAGAGAGAUAGAGAGAGUGAGUGCCUUUUGGGAAAAAAAAGCAAUUGACGUUUAUAACAAGUUGUUGUAUUUCCCAUUUUCUUUUAUCUGACGUGGGGAGAUGAAAUGUGAAAUUUGUGAGGGGAUGAUACAAAUCAAAAGAGAUUUAUUUAGAAAGGGAUGUUUAGAUUUAUAAACCCUUAAUUUGUUGUAACUU